CAAUUGGCCACAUUCCAUGGCACCAAACUUUCUUGGUUCCCAGGUUUGACUAUAUAGUUCGGACCAGCAGUUGAAGUGGUAUCCAAUUAACUUCUCUUCUUCCCCUAUCGAUCCCUCCUGCCUCAACCAGCACACCAUGUCGUUGACGCCACUGCUUGUCAAGUCGCUGGUGAGGCUGGUGGGGCUGUUGGUGAGCCGGCCGGCGGUGUCGGUGACGACGAUACUCUACCACAGCGACGCGCUGCCGAGGAACCCCGGCCUGCAGCGGCUCGUCCGCGACGAGCUACUCGACGAUGAGAACUACCUGUUCCACUUCCUCAUCAGCAUGCUCAAAUGCUUCUGGUAGAUCGCGCGUGCAAUUCUUGACCACCACAUUCUUAUUACCUUUUCAUUACUACUGUUCAUCCGCAGCCAUUUUAAUCGGUAGCUUCUUCCUUAAUCCUCAUGGUGUUCAUCGACUCCCCAUCUCCAUCUCUCUCUCUCUCUCUCUCGAUUUCUGGUUGAAGAUAAACAAUGGGCGAUAGAUCUGAGUGCAGUACAUGAAAUUACAUGGGCAGACUUAAAAAUGAUGGUGGAAGAAACCAUUAAAUAUAGUGUCAGCCGAUGUGUUUCAUGUUGCAAGUGCAUGUGAUGAUGAUGUUGAUGAUACGGGACUAACAGUAAGUGCAGCUGAUGGAGCUUUUAUCU